ACAGGAGUUGACAUCACUGAUCUUACUACCGACAACAUUCAUCUUUGUUCGAUUAUAUCUUUCUUUAAAAACAGUUACUUAACAAACAAUUACACAAUAUGAAAAAAACCAAUUAUUUCAAGAAUGGGCAAUGGCAAUAAACAGUUAUUAUUAGUAAAAUCGCUCAAUGUUUGAAACAAAUAUGUGGAAAAUGUAAAUAAAGCCCUGUAUUAAAUUAUGAAUUUCUCUUCAUUAUGGGUUUUUUACGAUCACUUGUUAUCAUUUACAUGCUCAUAUACAUAAUUGUAUAUUUAGGUUUAGUUGGAACACUAGUUUAUAUACGUGGAGUUUUGCUCGCUCGCAAUAACUUACCAGAAGACUACACAGCUGAUUUAUAAGGAAGAUAAUAAAACAAUAGCUAUAAAAUAUAUUUAUUAUAAAAGGCACAGACCUGGACGGAAUAGUAAAAUUAAGUCUUUUACAACAACAUGGAAUGUCUAACUUAAAUAGGUACAAGAAAAAUUAAACCAUUGUAAGAUACAUUCAUAUAUACAAAAUUAAACAACAA